UCUGCCACGUGCCAGCCGGGUGAUCGCAGGGCACGUGCUUUUGCCACGUUUGUCGUCUCACGGGGCUGCUGGGAGGAUGAAGUGGGGGUGACGCCGGCCCCUCUGUGCUCCCACUUCCAUCUGCUUGUCAGGCCCUUCUGCCACCCCGCGGGGGUCAGGGCUAAUUACUCAGUCUUGCUGGUGGGGAAACUGAGGCGUGGAGAGGAGAUGGAACCCGCCCGCGGUCUGGGAGACGCAACCUGCUGCUGGACUCCAUGGCUGGCUUCUUGACCCGCUGCCCUGGUCUCAGGGCCUCCAUGUGGUAUCACCACAUGGCCUCACCAGCACUGUGACUUCGGGCUUCAGGGUAUUUUGGCAAAUAAUGAUGGCUCAGGGGUCCCAGAGCAAACAGUGAAAGAUGCAUGGCCUUCUCUGAGCCAGCCUCCAAAAUUACAUGAUGUCACUUCUGCCCUACUGGAUGGGAUUAAAGCCAUGGCAAGUCCACCCAGAUUCCAGGUGAGAGAACAUGCACCCUGUAUUAGUCUGUUCUCAUGCUGCUAUGAAGAAAUACCUGAGACUGGGUAAUUUAUAAAGAAAAGAGGUUUAAUUGACUCACAGUCCUGCAUGGCAGGGGAGGCUUCAGGGAACUUACAAUCGUGGCAGAAGGGGAAGCAAUCAUGUCCUUCUUCACAUGGUGGCAGGAGAGAGAAGUGCAGAGUGAAAGAGUGAAGCAGGGAAAAGUCCCUUAUAAAACCAUCAGAUCUCCUAAGAGCUCACUCACUAUCAUUAGAACAGCAUGGGGGAACUGCCCCCAUGAUCUAAUCACCUCACAUAAGGUCCCCCCCACAACAUGUGGGGAUUACAAUUUGGAUUACAAUUCAAGAUGAGAUUUUGGGUGCAGACACAGCCAAACCAUAUCAGGCCCAUCUCUUGAAGGGAAGAAUGUCAAGGAAUUUGCAGCCAUGUUUCAAAACCUCUGCAAUUACCUGCAUCAUUUGCACACUUUCUUCAGAAGAAACACAGCUGGACUUGUUCCUAUGUGAAUUUCCUUUUCAAGACCCAGCCUACCUUUCAAGAUGAUAGUUAAUAAAAAAAAAAGUAUCAAUUAUCAGACAGUUACUUUGGCCUAGUGACUGCACUAACUACUUCACGUGAGGAAUGUGCUAUGUCUUAGUCCAUUCAAGCUCCUAUAAGAAAAUAACUUAAACUGGGUGGCUUGUAAACAACAAAAGUUUGUUUCUCACAGGCUGAAGGCUGAAGAAGUCCAAGAUCAAUGUGCCAGUAGAUUUGAUGUCGGGUGAGGGUCCCACUUUUGGGUUCGUAGACAGUGCCUUCUUACGGUGUCCUCACAUGGCAGCAGGAGCAAGGCAGUUCUCCAGGGUCCCUUUCAUAAGGGCACAAAUAUCAUUCACAGGGGCUCCACCUCUAUGACUUAAUCACCUGCCAAAGGUCCCACCUCCUAAUACCGUCACCUUAUGGGGUGAAGAUUUACAUAGGAAUGUCUAGGGGACACAAACAUUCAGGCCAUUGCAUGCGCUCCUGUUCCCCAUUUUACAGGUGAGAAGCCAAGGCUUCCAGCAGGUCAAUAGGUUGCCCCAAUCACUCAGCAAGGAAAUGUCAGAGGGAAGAGCAAUACCCAGAGCUCCUCAUCUCCAGAGCCUACACCCUUAAUGCCCUGUGCCCUGGCCCACCACGCUGCCUGUGAGUCUGCUGUGUCUGGUUUUAUUGGCAGGACCUGGCUGUUUCCCGCAAGUCCUCCAACAUCACUCAAGCUCCUGAAUCUGUUAGAAGUUGUUUCCUCUCAUUCUUACUCCCAGAAGGAAAUCUUAUCUCCAUAUUCUAGGGAUACUCUCCUCUAGUGAUGGCUACAACUGGUAUACAUUUGGCAG
rnacentral:lncRNA from 1 species